rnacentral:rRNA from 1 species
UACAACUUUCAGCAAUGGAUCUCUUGGCUCUCGCAUCGAUGAAGAACGCAGCGAAUCGCGAUAUGUAAUGUGAAUUGCAGAUCUACAGUGAAUCACGAAUCUGUGACGC